rnacentral:rRNA from 1 species
ACGCUCGACACCUACAGGAGGCAGCAGUGGGGAAUAUUGCACAAUGGGGGAAACCCUGAUGCAGCGACGCCGCGUGGAGGAAGAAGGUCUUCGGAUUGUAAACUCCUGUUGUUGGGGAAAAAGAGGAUGGUACCCAACAAGGAAGUGACGGCUAACUACGUGCCUGCAGCCGCGGUAAUCUGAGCGGGCUGGCAAGGC